rnacentral:rRNA from 1 species
GACGAACGCUGGCGGCGUGCUUAACACAUGCAAGUCGAGCGGAGCGGCGAACGGGUGCGUAACGCGUGAGUAACUGCCCCCCCCUCUGGGAUAACAGUUGGAAACGGCUGCUAAUACCGGAUAGUGGGGGAUGACUCGAGGUCUAUCAGCUUGUUGGUGGGGUAGUGGCGUACCAAGGAGACGACGGGGAGCCGGCCUGGGAGGGCGACCGGCCACAUUGGGCUGAGAUACGGCCCAAAGGCCUACGGGGGGAAGCGGUGGGGGAUAUUGCGCAAUGGGGCAAACCCUGAUGCAGGAACGCCGCGUGCGGGAUCUCGGCCUUCGGGGUGGAAACCGCUUUCAGCCAUGACGCGGUAGUGGCAGAAGAAGCACCGGCUAACUACGUGCCAGCAGCCGCGGUAAUAC